rfam:Zootermopsis nevadensis contig3980, whole genome shotgun sequence.
UGGUCUAGCGGUCAGAACACUAGUCUUGUAAGCCUGGGGUCCCGGGUUCAAUUCCCGG